GAUACCUAACCAUAUUUGGCAGAUGGACGUCACACACUUGCCAGAAUUUGGAAAAUUAAAAUAUUUGCAUGUUACAGUUGAUACUUCUUCCGGAUUUUUGAUGGGCUCCCUUCAUGCCGGAGAAAAAACUAAAGAUGUUAUAGCUCAUUGCUUACAAAAUUUUGCCACUGUGGGUGUUCCAAAACAGUUAAAAACAGAUAAUGCCCCUGGUUAUACUUCUACCUCUUUUAAACAAUUUUGCUCAACAUUUGGCAUUACUCAUAUAACAGGAAUCCCAUACAAUCCACAGGGACAAGGCAUAGUUGAAAGAGCUCAUCAAACUAUUAAAAUGUACUUAUUAAAGCAAAAAGAAGGAAUUGGGAAGGGGUAUAUAUUCCCCAAAGAUAAACUUAAAAUAACCCUAUUUACUCUAAACUUUUAAAAUUUGGAUUCAUCAGGACUUAGUGCUGCGGAAAGGCAUAUGUGUCCAAAAAAUGUACAUAAGCCCAAGGUACUUUGGAAGGAUAUUCUAACAGGACAAUGGAAAGGUCCUGACCCAGUGAUUGUCUGGAGUCGGGGGUCUGUUUAUGUGUUUCCACAGGGAGAACAGCAGCCGAUUUGGAUUCCAGAAAGAUUAACUAAAGCGAUUUCUACAGAUCAAAAAGAAGAUGAUUUGGCUCAAAUCCAUAACAACUGAUAUCCAAAACUCCAGUUUGGCUAUUCUUACAUCUGCAACAGAACCAGGAUGCUUUUUUCAAUAUCUAUUUUAUUAUUGCCCUUUGCCAUAUCAUGAAGUUCUAUUUUGUUUUUUGAGCUCAUACAGACCUAGGUUAAUGUUUUGCUGAUCAGUUCUAUUUUUUGACUAUAGAGUUUUUAAACAUUGCAAUGGAGAUUUCACCUGUAAAAAGUUAUAAGGCCUUUACUAUAAUGUUAUGUGUUGUAUGUAUUAUAUUAUGUGUGCACACUUGUGUUUUGUGUUAUAUGUUUGAAUGUAUGUAUGUCCAUAUAUCAUAUAUGAUGAGCGCUCAUGAUAAAAUGGAUCCAAAUAUUUUUUUUCACGUGAUUUAUAUGGUUUAAUUUAAAUUGGGUAAACAACUGUUGAGGAUUGUUUUAAUAUGUAAACAAAAAAGAAGGUUAACAGAUCUGUUUGUUUACUUUCACCUUUCCUUUUCAUUAUAUUUAAUAAUUCUCUUAAAGAUAAUGUAAAUUGUUAAGAAAAUUGUUUUCUUUUAGUGCCUUCUGUAAUGUUACAUAAUUUUUUCUUUAGCCAUUAUUGCCAGAAUUCCUAUCUUCAUCCCAGUGCCGGUGAAGACAAUGUAAAUUGUUAAGAAAAUUGUUUUCUUUUAGUGCCUUCUGUAAUGUUACAUAAUUUUUUCUUUAGCCAUUAUU